GCUGGUGGGAAGAGUACAUUGGACACACUAGUUCCCAGCAGAUCACUGGAGUUAAGAAACGUUAUGUGUGGUUAGUAACUGGAUAUGUGAACGUCGGGGAUAGCUGGACAGCACAUGAACC
rnacentral:rRNA from 1 species